AUGGAUCAAAACUCCUCCUGCUAUAGUGAGAUAUCAAACCUGCUCAAGACCAUAAACAAGAUACAAGCAGUUUUGGGUUUGUUUUCUGUGUUUAACUUUUUAGGGCCAUACCCUAAGGCUAGGGGUCCAGUUGGAGCUACAGCUGCCGACCUAUGCCAUGGCCACACAACACAGGAUCCAAGCCACGUCUGCAACCUACACCACAGCUCACGGCAACGCUGGAUCCUUAACCCACUGAGGAAGGCCAGGGAUCGAACCCACAACCUCACGAUUCCUAGUCAGAUUCCUUUCUGCUGCACCACAAUGGGAACUCCAAUGCAAGCAAUUAUAGAUUCCAAAAGCAUUGCUCAGUUAUAAGAGAAGACGAUUAAAAAAGCCGUGCAGGAGAAUAGAAGAAGCUAAAUAUAUCUCAGCCUCUAACAUCAUGUCAAUGAAAAGUAAAAUUUACCAAUUGGAUAACACACAUGUCUUGCACUGACCACUGUCUAUACUUGGAGUUGGUAGUUUUCAUUGAUCGAAUGCUGCCAAGUCCGUGAUAUUUCUAGCUAUUACCUCCAAUUUCUGGAAGGAAAAAGCCAAACAGUGAAUGUCUUAACAGGAGUAAAUGAAAACAGGUGCCAGGAAAACAGAAAGAUGAAUGCUAAGGUCCUAACAUACGGCGACUAGAACUACCUUGGGUACCACAUGGUCCUGUGGAACUGGCCCUCCCUGUAUUGGACAUGUGAGCAUCCUUGCAUUUCUUCUGCAUUUUGUAGCCCUGGAUAUUCCUAGGCAACAUCCUACUAUCAUUUCUCUAUUUCAAAGCGUAAACUUGCUAGCCCGAGGAGCUAUUAGUAUUGUGUUCACUAUUAAAUUCCCUGAUAGAAGUUCCUUAGAAAGCUGGGAAGUCAUUUCAUUUCUGGAGUGGUUUUGUUUUCCCUUGGAGCACAUGACUGGAGAGGUCAAUUAGGAUUGCCUUUUGGUCCUGGACUCUAAGAACUUCCCUUCCUCUCUUUCUUCUCCCAUCUCUGUCCCCUCUUCCUCCCUCCUACCUUCAUCUAGAGUUUGCCCCAUUUAGGAGAAAGGGUGGAGUUAGCUCUGAUCCCUGUGCUGGAGGACUUGCAAAUGAGAGGGAAGGAGGGAGGGAGGGUAAUGAGUGAUCCAGAGAGGGGGAAAGAGGGAAGCAGCAUUUGAGCCGAGGCUUGAAGGCUUGGUAGGACUCUGGCAGGUGGAUGAGGACAGGGACGGAUGCUGGGGUGGACAGGAUGGUGGGAGGAAGUGGCAGAGGUGUGGGCGGGCGUGAG
rnacentral:lncRNA from 1 species